GCACAAUAUAUCCUAUGUAAGGGUAACUAUAGAAAGAAAUUACUUCUAUUUCCAUUGCUUAGCUCUAAUAAAAAAGGGUUUGAAAGUAUAAAGAUAGAAUAUAUAGCGGUAGCAAAGUACAAUACGACCCAUCUUCGGAAUACGGUGAAAAUCCGUAACGGACGCGCCACUGUGAAAGUCUCAAUGGGAUUUGAGUCAGAUACGAAGUGCUUAAUUUUAUGUUCUAUUACAUUAGAACAAUAAUGU
rnacentral:misc_RNA from 1 species